CCCUUAGAGUUUGAUCCUGGCUCAGAACGAACGCUGGCGGCGUGCCUAAGACAUGCAAGUCGCACGAGAAAGUCCUUCGGGAUGAGUAGAGUGGCGCACGGGAGAGUAAUACAUCGGAACGUACCUUUUGGUGGGGGAUAACCACGGGAAACUGUGGCUAACACCGCAUAAAGACGUGAGUCUAAACCAGGCCUCUAUUUAUAAGCUUGGGCCAAUUGAGCGGCCGAUGCCCCAUUAGCUAGUUGGUAGGGUAAUGGCCUACCAAGGCAACGAUGGGUAGGUGGUCUGAGAGGAUGAUCACCCUCACUGGGACUGAGACACGGCCCAGACUCCUACGGGAGGCAGCAGUCGGGAAUUUUGCACAAUGGGCGCAAGCCUGAUGCAGCAACGCCGCGUGAGUGAAGAAGGCUCUUGGGUUGUAAAGCUCUUUCGGCCAAGAAGAAGGGUCUGCCUGCGAACAGCUUGCAGAUUUGACGGUAUUGGAAGAAGAAGCACCUGCUAACUUCGUGCCAGCAGCAGCGGUAAUACGAAGGGUGCAAGCGUUGUUCGGAAUUACUGGGCGUAAAGCGCGCGUAGGCGGGUUCGUAAGUCGAUUGUGAAAUCCCUGGGCUUAACCUGGGAACUGCAGUCGAAACUGUGAACCUUGAAUGUCUGAGAGAUGGCGGAAUAACCGGUGUAGUAGUGAAAUACGUAGAGAUCGGUUAGAACACC
rnacentral:rRNA from 1 species